rnacentral:rRNA from 1 species
GACGAACGCUGGCGGCGUGGAUUAGGCAUGCAAGUCGGACGGUAGGGCUUUAUCGUAAGAUAGAGUUUGAGAGUGGCGAACGGGUGAGUAACACGUAGGAAUCUACCCUUAAGACGGGGACAACCCAGGGAAACUUGGGCUAAUACCGGAUGAGAGUGCGAGAGAUUGCAUUUAAAAGGAUGGCGAAAGUUGUCGCUUAGGGAUGAGCCUGCGGUCUAUUAGUUAGUUGGUGAGGUAAGAGCUCACCAAGGCGAUGAUAGAUAGGCGGCCUUAACGGGUGGUCGCCCACACUGGGAUUGAGAUACGGCCCAGACUCCUACGGGAGGCAGCAGUCGAGAAUAGUCUACAAUGGACGGAAGUCUGAUAGUGCGACGCCGCGUGAACGAAGAAUCCCUUCGGGGUGUUAAAGUUCUUUUAAUACGUGAGCAGUGCCCUUUAUAUGAAUAGUAUAGAGGGAGGGAUUUAAGCGUAUGAAUAAGCAACGGCUAACUCCGUGCCAGCAGCCGCGGU